rnacentral:lncRNA from 1 species
CUUCUUUUUCCUCCCACUGGUAGACGUUCUCUCCUCUGUUUUCUCCCCUCAGGCAAAACAUCACCCCCCUCCCCUGUUCAUGCAUCAGCAAGCAUGGGCUUGCAACCGCCCCCCUGCAGCUGCACGUCCGGGCUUAGAGAAGGGGUCCAUCAGUCAACCGCUAGGGGUCCCCUACCCCUUCUAAAUAUGAUGAGAAGUCUUUCAAAAUCACCUCCCCGAGCCUUUUACCACCAAAGGGGGUCUACAAAAGGUCAUAGUCCUAAUUUGAGUAUGAUUUGAUCUUUGAAUAUAUUUCCUAG